AAGUCGUAACAAGGUUUCCGUAGGUGAACCUGCGGAAGGAUCAUUACAGAGUUCCUGCCCUCACGGGUAGAAACCCCACCCUUGUGUAUACUAUAUUGUUGCUUUGGCAGGCCGCCUCACGGCGUCGGCUUACGCUGGCUCGUGCCUGCCAGAGGACCCUAAACUUUGAAAUACAGUGUCGUCUGAGUACUAUUUAAUAGUUAAAACUUUCAACAACGGAUCUCUUGGUUCUG
rnacentral:misc_RNA from 1 species